rnacentral:lncRNA from 1 species
UCCACACCAGCUUUCACAGCCCCGUCCCCUAGGAGACCCGGGGACAGACGGAAGAAGGAGCCUCCUCGGGUUUCAGGGCUGGACGGAGGAGACAGGGGGUGACGGGGUUGGGGAAAGAGAAAUGGAAAAGCGAGGGGGCGCGAGUGAUCAGCUGGUUGAUGAGGAAAAGUUGGAAGAUAAAUGUAUAAUCCUAGACCUGCAGAAUUGUCAGAGGCCAUUAUGCUGAGCGUCACGAGGGGGGCUCUGGAGUCAGGCAGGACUCCAGGCACCAACUGCCACUACCUACCAAACGACAAGGCUGACUCUGCCUCCUCUGAGGCCACCACACUCGCUGCUCCUCCUGCUCCCUCACCUGCACUGUGAAGAUAGUAAUAGGACCCAGCUCACAGUGUUGUUGGAGGAUUCAAUGAGGUGAGGAAAAAUGAGGCCCACAGAGGCGCGACAGGCAAACACCCAGCGGGGCAGGUGCUGGGACCCCUCUGCCAGCCCAGAGCUUGCUGCAGGACCCAUUCCAGAAAGAGGAGGAAUUCCCAGCUGAGGCCAAAGUUCAUUCCAUCAGAGGUGUUGCAGUGUGGUGGGGAGGAGUCUUGCGGUGAGAAACAGGUAGAUGCUGCUGCAGUGGAAACCGAGGAAGUGCGAGAAUGUGCGUCCUCCACAUGUCUGUCCUCGAAGCCUGUCCUGCUCCAACAAGGGGACCCCAAGAACAGCAUUUAGUGGCGGCCUAGCACCUGAAGUCCUCGGAUCCACCACCAGGUUUGCUGUGUGACCUUGGGGAAACGUCUUCCCCAGUCUGGGCUGUGGUUGGGAAGAAUCCUUCUCCCUUGUUAUUGAGGACCAGUGAGGCCAUCAGUCUUCUCUGCCAGAGAAAGACGCUGGGGACAUGCUCCCCUCAGCACCCAGGAUUGGGAAAACUGCAAGAGGCAGAGGGAGUGGUGCCAGCCCACCUGCCUGUGUAGGAAUCUUGGCUCCUUCUGUCCAGCUCUGUCUCCCCUGGCCCUUCUCUGUGGCUUCUGGUCUUCACUGCCCUGGUUGUACACGCCGCCCCCACCCCUCUCUCCCUGUCUUUUGUCUCUCUGUUUUUUUUUUUUUUUUUUUUUUACUCUCCCUUCCCUCUCCUUCUCUCCCUCCCUCUUCCCUCUCCCUGGCCACCUCCUUCUCCCCCUUCCCCUCCCCUUCUCUCUUUCCCUUUCACUGUUUAUCCCGGAUCCUCUUUUCCUGCAGGGACACUCUGGAAAGCCCUGGCUCCAAACCAGUGUGAUUCUAAUCUUCCCAGCAGACUGUCUAAAAUGUAAUUUACGAGCAAGGCUCUCCCGGCUUCUCCAUCCUGCAGCCUGGGCAGGACUCCCAGCCAGUGAAUGGGCUGGGGAGCGGGAGUGGGGCUGGGGCCAGCCUCGCUGGGUCAUCUCCCAUUCUGCUCUAUCUGCCCAUCAGCUGGGGGAACGGGCCCAAACCCGGGGAAGCUUUUCACUUGGAACCGACUUCAGUUCCGGGUUCAUGGAAGGCAGUUGGCCCCGAUGCAGCAACAGAUUGCCGUUUGCUGUGGACUCUGCAAAACCUUGCGGCAGGAGAGACCUCUUGGAGGCCAUGACAUUAGGCCAGGACAUUUGCGCAUUCAUUAACUCAUGUUACUGUACACUUUCUAUGCAUCACACAGUCCUGGGAGCUGAGGUUGUAGUGCCGAGCACAGAGACCAGUUCCUGUUCUUUUGAAGCUAGCAGUUUGGUGGAAGGGACCGACAUUAAUCCCAUAGUUACUUAAGAGAAUGCUGGCGGGGCACGGUGGCUCAUGUCUGUAAUCCCAGCAUUUUGGGAGGCCUAGGCAGGAGGAUCUCUUGAGGCCAGGAGUUUGAGACCAGCCUGGGCAACCUAUUGCGACCCUCAUCUCUAAGAAAAUUAAAAUUAACCAGGCAUGGUGGCAAAUGCCUGUAGUCCCAGCUACUAGGGAGGCUGAAGUGGGAGGAUCGAUUUAGCCCAGGAGGUCAAGGCUACAGUGAGCUAUGUUUGUGCUCAGCCUGGGCGACACAGUAAGACUCUGUCUCAAAACAACAACAUAAAACCAAAGAAUGUUAAACAGAUUUCCUUUAGUUCUGUGCUGAAGGAGAGGAAUAGGAUGCUUUAUAAUAUGGGGGUUGACUAGGUCUGUUGGGGGAGGCACAAAGGAAGCCACCCCCACUUUUUUGCAUGAUAAUGAAUAAUGACACCAUUAGUGGCGUGUUUAUACAGAGAGGCGGUGACAAAUAUAAUUCCUCCUUUGCUGCCACUUUUGACUUUAUGUGUGUUGAAUUUAGAUACCCCUCCAUCAACUGAUGUGAGCGGCUCCUGGAGGGUCCUUAAAGGGUCCCAAACUAUGAGCGCUGCUCUCGACCUGUACACCAGACACAGGUAAAGGGACUUCUCACUCCCCCCACUUCCAAACUAUGAGCGCUGCUCUCGAUCUGUAUGUACACCAGACACAGGUAAAGGGACUUCUCACUCCCCCCACCUCCAAACUAUGAGCGCUGCUCUCGACCUGUACACCAGACACAGGUAAAGGGACUUCUCACUCCCCCCACCUCCAAACUAUGAGCGCUGCUCUCGACCUGUACACCAGACACAGGUAAAGGGACUUCUCACUCCCCCCACUUCCAAACUAUGAGCGCUGCUCUCGAUCUGUACACCAGACACAGGUAAAGGGACUUCUCACUCCCCCCACCUCCACUGUCUGCCCUGCCACUGGGCCCAAUUCUGGAAGGGGUGAACAGCUCGGAAGAAGGCCGGGCUCGGCAGCCACGGUGCUCUCUCUGGGCCUCUGUUCUCACUGCAAAGUGGACUAACAGGCCUCCAUGGACCAGCUCACAGUAUUUGCUGUAAGGGUCACAUGAAGCGAUUGAUGUGAAAAGUAUUUAUUGUCUUGGAAAUUCCUGAAUUCACCACCAUAUUCCUCACUGCCAUCCUCAUCCAUGAAAGCGAGGGGGCUGAGGGAGGUUUUGAGACUUCCCAUGAAGCCCCUUCUUUCUGGGAUUUCAACACACCCAACUCCGUGGAGCGCGUGGCCGCCUUCUCAGCGGAGCAAUGCUGUCACCUAGUGGCCACUCCGCACCCUUCUCCUUGGAAUCAGGAGCUGACCCGGAGCACCUGCCCUUGGGAGCUGUCCCCAGGUACCCCUCCACACCUGCAAAGCUACCGGUGGUCAGGGCUUCCGUGUCUGGUCAUGAGAGAGCAAAUAUUGCAGUGGAGAAGAGGGGCUGAGGAGGCAGGGUCCCUGCUCUUAUGAAGGGCAGCUUGUCCUUGGGCCCCCUAGCUCCUCCUGCCAUUGGACUUGGCUUGGCAGAUAUUCCAUCAGAGCAGGCGAGGGCAGGAGGCCUGGGUUUCCAGACCCUCAUCUGCAGGGUGCCUGUCAGUGUUGAAGUCAAGAAGCUCCUUCGUGUGAGCCUCACCCUGUUUCUACCUCGUGUCUUCCUGUAGUUUAUUCUCUACCUGGCUUCUAGAGUGAUCCCUUUAAAAGCAAGUCAGAUGAUGUCAUGCCGCUGCUCAAACCCUGCAGUUAUUCCCACUCAGAGUAAAACCAAAGACAGCAAGACAGGAUCGGGGCCUGUGGGUAACCUUCCCUGCCCUUGUUUAUCUUUUUAGUUUUUGUUUUCAAUAUUUAUUUAUUCACUUAUUUAUUUUUUAUUUUUUGAGAUGGAGUCUUGCUCUGUUGCUCAGGCUGGAGCGCAGUGGUGCACUCAGCUCACUGCAAUCUCUGCCUCCCGGGUUCAAGCGAUUCUCUUGCCUCAGCUUCUCAAGAAGCUGGGAUUACAGGCAUAUGUCACCAGGCCCAGAUAAUUUUUGUAGUUUUAGUAGAGACAGGGUUUUGCCAUGUUGGCUAGACUGGUGCUGGUCUCAAGCUCCUGACCUCAGGUGAUCCACCCAUCUCGGCCUCCCAAAGUGCUGGGAUUAUAGGCAUGAGCCACUGCACCUGGCCUUGUUUUGUUUUUGAGACAGGGUCUCACUCUAUCACCGAGGCUGGAGUGCAGUGGUGCAAUCAUGGCUCACUGCAGCCUUGACCUGACGGGCUCAAGCAAUCCUCCUACCUCAGCCUCCUGAGUAGCUGGGACUACAGGUGUGCCCCUCCAUGCCCAGCUAAUUGGCAUUUAUUUUUUUGUUCUUUUUUUCUUUUUCUUUCUUUCUUUUCUUUUUUUUUUUUUCUUUUUUUUUUUGAGACAGAGUCUCGCCCUAUCACCCAGGCUGGAGUGCAAUGGCGCGAUCUCAGCUCAUUGCAACCUCCGCCUCCAGGUUCAAGUGAUUCUCCUGUCUCAGCCUCCUGAGUAGUUGGGAUUACAGGCACGUGCCAUCAUGCCCGGCUAAUUUUUUGUAUCUUCAGUAGAGGCAGGGUUUCACCAUGUUGUGCAGGCUGGUCUGGAACUCUGGGACUCAAGCAAUCCUCCCACCUCGGCCUCCCAAAGUGCUGGGAUUACAGGCUUGAGCCACUGUGCCCAGCUCUGUUUAUCUUUCAGACUGCACCUGCCCCUCAUCAGCUCCUCUCCAGCCUCCUUGUCAUGCCUUAAACUCUCACUGCUGCUCCCUCUGCUUGGAAUGACCUUCCCCUGGGUAGCUGCACAGGUGGGCCCUCGUGUCAUUUAUCACUCUGCUUAAAUAGCCCUUACUCAGAAAAGUCUGCCUUAACUAAAUUAGCAGCCUCCAUCACUUUUCUUCCCCUUUGCCUACUUUGCUUUCUUCACAGGACUCACAAUAUAUGGUUGUUUCUUGGUAUCUGCGGUGAUACUAAAAUCUGCGGAUGCUCAAGUCCCUUCUAUAAAAUGCUGUAGUAUUUGUGUAUAAACUUCACAUAUCCUCUCAUAUACUUUAUUUUUAUUUUUAAUUUUUUUUGGGACAGGGUCUCACUCCAUCACCCAGGCUGGAGUGCAGUGGCGUGAUCUCGGUUCACCGCAACCUCUGCCUCCCGGGUUCAAGCAGUUCUGAUGCCUCAGCCUCCUGAAUAGCUGGGAUCACAGGCAUGAGCCACCAUGGCUGGCUAAUUUCUAUAUAUAUUUUUAAAAGUAGAGACAGGGAGGUUAAGAGGAGGGUUUAGAUAAUAAAAUGUGUGGUAUAGAGUUCUGGAAAAUGCAUAGUGUAUAGUGCUCCUAGAAAGAUUUGUAGUAGUUAGGGCAUUUAUUAUAAUAAUGUUCAUGUACUCUGCUACAAAAAAGAGAGCGUAUGGGCCUGCAGCAUAUUCAAUAUUAAACUCUGAGACUAAUUCUCAUUCUCCUUCUGUCAG